rnacentral:pre_miRNA from 1 species
UCAAAUUGAAGAACUGAGAUCGAUUGGUGCAUAGAUAUCGCCCAAAAAGUAAUUCAUUUCAAUUCUAGCACCAUUCGAAAUCAGUGCUUUUUAUUCGAAC